rnacentral:rRNA from 1 species
AGAGCGAACGCUGGCGGCAGGCCUAACACAUGCAAGUCGAGCGCGUGUAGCAAUACACGAGCGGCAGACGGGAGAGUAACACGUGGGAACGCGCCCUUCGGUUCGGAAUAACUCAGGGAAACUUGAGCUAAUACCGGAUACGCCCUUACGGGGAAAGAUUUAUUGCUGAAGGAACGGCCCGCGUCCGAUUAGCUAGUUGGUGAGGUAACGGCUCACCAAGGCGACGAUCGGUAGCUGGUCUGAGAGGAUGACCAGCCUCACUGGGACUGAGACACGGCCCAGACUCCUACGGGAGGCAGCAGUGGGGAAUAUUGGACAAUGGGCGCAAGCCUGAUCCAGCCAUGCCGCGUGGAUGAUGAAGGCCUUAGGGUUGUAAAGCUCUUUUGUGCGGGAAGAUAAUGACGGUACCGCAAGAAUAACGCCCGGCUAACUUCGUGCCAGCAGCCGC